rnacentral:rRNA from 1 species
GUUGUAUAGUCAAGUAAUUAAGUGCAUGUGGUGGAUGCCUUGGCAGUCAGAGGCGAUGAAAGACGUGAUAGCCUGCGAAAAGCUCCGGGGAGGCGGCAAAUAUCCUUUGAUCCGGAGAUGUCUGAAUGGGGGAACCCACCUACUUUAAGGUAGGUAUUGCAACAUGAAUACAUAGUGUUGCAAGGCGAACGAGGGGAAGUGAAACAUCUCAGUACCCUUAGGAAAAGAAAUCAAUUGAGAUUCCCUCAGUAGCGGCGAGCGAACGGGGAUCAGCCCAUUAAGUUAUGUGUGUUUUAGUGGAACGCUCUGGGAAGUGCGAACGUAGAGGGUGAUAUUCCCGUACACGAAAGGGCACACAUAAUGAUGACGAGUAGGGCGAGGCACGUGAAACCUUGUCUGAAUAUGGGGGGACCAUCCUCCAAGGCUAAAUACUCCUGACUGACCGAUAGUGAACCAGUACCGUGAGGGAAAGGCGAAAAGAACCCCUGUGAGGGGAGUGAAAUAGAUCCUGAAACCGCAUGCAUACAAGCAGUGGGAGCACCUUCGUGGUGUGACUGCGUACCUUUUGUAUAAUGGGUCAGCGACUUAUAUUCAGUAGCAAGGUUAACCGUAUAGGGGAGCCGUAGAGAAAUCGAGUCUUAAUAGGGCGUUUAGUUGCUGGGUAUAGACCCGAAACCAGGCGAUCUAUCCAUGAGCAGGUUGAAGGUUGGGUAACACUAACUGGAGGACCGAACCCACUGUCGUUGAAAAGCCAGGGGAUGACUUGUGGAUAGGGGUGAAAGGCUAAUCAAGCCUGGUGAUAGCUGGUUCUCCCCGAAAGCUAUUUAGGUAGCGCCUCGGACGAAUACCAUAGGGGGUAGAGCACUGUUUCGGCUAGGGGGUCAUCCCGACUUACCAAACCGAUGCAAACUCCGAAUACCUAUGAGUACUAUCCGGGAGACAGACUGCGGGUGCUAACGUCCGUAGUCAAGAGGAAAACAAUCCAGACCGCCAGCUAAGGCCCCAAAAUCAUAGUUAAGUGGGAAACGAUGUGGGAAGGCAUAGACAGCUAGGAGGUUGGCUUAGAAGCAGCCACCCUUUAAAGAAAGCGUAAUAGCUCACUAGUCGAGUCGGCCUGCGCGGAAGAUGUAACGGGGCUAAAACUAUGUGCCGAAGCUGCGGANNNNNNNNNNNNNNNNNNNAUGCUGGAGGUAUCAGAAGUGCGAAUGCUGACGUGAGUAACGACAAAACGGGUGAAAAACCCGUUCGCCGAAAGACCAAGGGUUCCAGUCCAACGUUAAUCGGGGCUGGGUGAGUCGACCCCUAAGGCGAGGCCGAAAGGCGUAGUCGAUGGGAAAAUGGUUAAUAUUCCAUUACUUCUGUGUAAUGCGAUGAGAGGACGGAGAAGGCUAAAUCAGCCUGGCGUUGGUUGUCCAGGUGAAAGGAUGUAGGCAUGUAUCUUAGGCAAAUCCGGGGUACUCUAUGCUGAGAUCUGAUAGCAAGCUGUACUUGUACAGCGAAGUGGUUGAUGCCAUGCUUCCAGGAAAAGUCUCUAAGCUUCAGUUACACAGGAAUCGUACCCGAAACCGACACAGGUGGUCAGGUCGAGUAGACCAAGGCGCUUGAGAGAACUCUGCUGAAGGAACUAGGCAAAAUGGUACCGUAACUUCGGGAGAAGGUACGCUGUUGUUGGUGAUGGAACUCGCUUCCUGAGCUGACGACAGCCGCAGAAACCAGGCCGCUGCAACUGUUUAUUAAAAACAUAGCACUCUGCAAACACGAAAGUGGACGUAUAGGGUGUGAUGCCUGCCCGGUGCUGGAAGGUUAAUUGAUGGGGUUAGCGUAAGCGAAGCUCUUGAUCGAAGCCCCAGUAAACGGCGGCCGUAACUAUAACGGUCCUAAGGUAGCGAAAUUCCUUGUCGGGUAAGUUCCGACCUGCACGAAUGGCAUAAUGAUGGCGGCGCUGUCUCCAGCAGAGGCUCAGUGAAAUCGAAAUCGCUGUGAAGAUGCAGUGUACCCGCGGCUAGACGGAAAGACCCCGUGAACCUUUACUGCAGCUUGACACUGAACUUUGACCUUACUUGUGUAGGAUAGGUGGGAGGCUUUGAAGCUGGAACGCUAGUUCCAGUGGAGCCGUCCUUGAAAUACCACCCUGGUAAUGUUGAGGUUCUAACUCUGUCCCGUGAUCCGGGACGAGGACCGUGUCUGGUGGGUAGUUUGACUGGGGCGGUCUCCUCCUAAAGAGUAACGGAGGAGUACGAAGGUGCGCUCAGCGUGGUCGGAAAUCACGCGUAGAGUAUAAAGGCAAAAGCGCGCUUAACUGCGAGACCCACAAGUCGAGCAGGUACGAAAGUAGGUCUUAGUGAUCCGGUGGUUCUGUAUGGAAGGGCCAUCGCUCAACGGAUAAAAGGUACUCUGGGGAUAACAGGCUGAUACCGCCCAAGAGUUCAUAUCGACGGCGGUGUUUGGCACCUCGAUGUCGGCUCAUCUCAUCCUGGGGCUGAAGCAGGUCCCAAGGGUAUGGCUGUUCGCCAUUUAAAGAGGUACGCGAGCUGGGUUUAGAACGUCGUGAGACAGUUCGGUCCCUAUCUACCGUGGGCGCUGGAAAUUUGAGAGGAUCUGCUCCUAGUACGAGAGGACCAGAGUGGACGAACCUCUGGUGUACCGGUUGUGACGCCAGUCGCAUCGCCGGGUAGCUAUGUUCGGAAGGGAUAACCGCUGAAAGCAUCUAAGCGGGAAGCCUACCUCAAGAUAAGAUUUCCCUAGGACUUUAUGUCCUCUAAAGAGCCGUUCGAGACUAGGACGUUGAUAGGUUGGAUGUGGAAGCAUAGUGAUAUGUGAAGCUGACCAAUACUAAUUGCUCGUGAGGCUUGACUAUACAACACCCAAGCAGUUG